UUCAGAUUUGGCAGUUUAUUCACAAAAGUCUUCGUUGUCCCGUCAGUACCCGGAGAAAGUUCCUCACAGGAAAUAGAGAGUUAACAUGUCAAAAGAUACCAUGGUUGUUAACCCAGAGAAAGUUUCUCACAGGAAACACUAAAUGAACCAUGUCAAAAGAUACCUUGGAUGUUAAAGGCCUCGACAAGUAGCAAUCAGUAAGAGAUAUUAUAUCUACUUGAAAUACAUUGUCAACAUCCAGUUUGUUGGUCCACAUGUUUGUAAGUGUGUUUCUAAUGCACAUGCUUCUGUCAGGCAAGCCUGCUCUAUAACAUAACUACAUGUUCUCACUAUAUCAU
rnacentral:lncRNA from 1 species